ensembl:snoRNA
UUGGCCCUGAAUCAAGGCCAGCAGUUUGCUGAAGCUGUUGGUUUCAAGCAGGCACCUAAAGAAUUAUCUUUCUAUGGUCUAUUGGCCAUUUCAGAACUUUGGAAAUGUAAUAGUCAGUUUAUUAGAAAGAAACAGUA